rnacentral:rRNA from 1 species
GAUGAACGCUGGCGGCGUGCCUAAUACAUGCAAGUCGAGCGAACGGACGAGAAGCUUGCUUCUUUGAUGUUGGCGACGGACGGGUGAGUGACACGUGGAUCACCCACCUAUAAGACUGGGAUAACUUCGGAAAACCGGAGCUUAUACUGGAUAAUAUUUUGAACCGGAUGGUUCAAAAGUAAAAGACGGUCUUGCUGUCUCUAAUAGAUGGAUCCGCGCUGCAUCAGCUAGUUGGUAAGGUCACGGCUUACCAAGGCAACGAUGCAUAGCCGACCUGGGAGGGUGAUCGGCCACCCUGGAGCUGAGGCACGGCACACGCUCCUCCGGGAGGCAGCAGUAGGGACUGUUCCGCAAUGGGCGCAAGCCUGACCCAACCACGCCGCGUGGGUGAUGAAGGGCUUCGGAUCGUAAAGCUCUGUUGUUGGGGAAGAACAUAUGUGUGUGUAUCUGUGCAGAUCCUGACGGUACCCGAUAAGUAAGCCGCGGCUAACUUCGUG